rnacentral:sRNA from 1 species
CGGCCUCGUCCUCUCAAAGUGCUGGGAAUACAGGCGUGAGCCACCACGCCCAGCCAAUUUUGAAUUACCUGAGUAGGGACAAUGUAACUUUUCUGGUACUCAGGUUCUCUAAGGAUCUUAAUCUGGCCCUGCUGGGACCCCUUUCUCCUAUAGUGUGAUUCUUGGAGCAAAUACCCGGCCAGACUUGGAUCUCCGAGACCCCAUCUGUGAUGACUUCUUCCAGUUGUGGCAAGACACGGCUGAGAGCAACGCCAAUAUCUAUGAGCAGAUCUUCCGCUGCCUGCCAUCCAAUGCCACGCGUUCCCUGCGGACUCUCCGGGAGUACGUGGCCGUGGAGCCCUUGGCCACGGUCAGUCCCCCCUUGGCUCGGUCUGAGCUCACCCAGGUCCAGGGCCACCUGGUCCACUUCCCCCUCAAGUUCCUA